GCAGGAAUUACAUAAGAAGUGUGCUAGCGACUGUCAAUUAUUGUCGGCGAUAAAAACGAGGCACAGCGCAAUAUAUUUAAUUUUUCGAUAAGAAUAUUGUACCAAUGUAGUGUAGAGUCCACAGUCGAAGAACUUAUGUAUUGCAUGACACAAGUAAUUAUGCAUUGCAUUAUGUAAGUUGUAUCUUUUCCUCAUUUUGCUAACUCGUCUCAUCCUUUGCAUGUUAAAUCGACAUAACAUUACAUCGUAGAAAAAGGUAAUGACAUAGUUACAAAUGCGACAUUUUUUAAGAAAACUAAGGCGAUGAAAUUCCUGUGCUAAUGUGUUAUUGAUCGAAGUUUUUUCUAAGACACACGAAUUAACACUCUGACUGCCAUGUCACUCAAAUUCAUGUGACGUAUAAAGUUUUCAAUGGGCUAUAUCACCCGGAUCAGGGUGAUGGAUCUAUUGGCUGUUAUUUGGUUGUGGUAUUUCAAAAGAUACUUAACAGGAUAUAGGCUAAUAAACUAUAGAAAUAUAUUAUUAUAAACUGCUUAAUUGAAAAGAGUAUUUCGCUUGGCAGUCAAAGUGUUAAAUUGAUGCAAGGACGGAAUGGGUAUUAAAAAGAUGCAAGUCGCAUCUGACGAAUCAUUUUGGGCAUGUUUUACGUGAAAUUUGAAAAAUGUGUUUUAAUUGAAACGUUCAAUUACUGAAAUCGGAUCGCGUGCUGCGUUCAUGGUACACAGGAUGGUAUGCGACGACAAGUCACUGGUAAUACGAGCACCUUAACCGCAGACCUUCCAGAACUUUCAUCCAGUCAUUGCGCUGGGUGAGUAUUGUUUCCACGAAACACAUAUUUCUAAAGCGAAUAGAGAAGACUACCUGGUAACACCGUCAGCAGGGCCGCGCAUCUCGCUAACGUCAUCGCAUAUCAUUCGAAAUUAUUGGUCUGACGUAACGCGGGCAAGAAUGAAUCGCGCGACAAGAAUUUCAACGACAUUUGCAUUACGAAAUUGAUUACCGUUUAGUCGCCUUAUCGGAAGGAACUUUCGAAUCGGGAUAUAACGCGUACACCUUUCCGAAUGAAAAUUCAAUAACAACCGGUUGUAAUCUUAUCACUUCCGCUGUGUUCCGUUAUUUUUUAAAGUAUUUACGUCAAACGAUAGUGCUCAAAUUUCGGCGCUACGUAACUUUACGACGACCUCGAUGAAAACAAGUCGAAAAUGAUUGUCGUAUUCUAGCUGACGCUGACGAUCUUCAUUUGAGAGAAGUUAUCGGAAACGUUGGUUCGUGACACCGAUACUCUCGCGGUUGGCGUCGUUUGACGUACGUACUUGCAUACAUGGAAACGUGAAAACAGAUUGCAGCGAACAGGAAAGAAUUUUAUAAUUUAUCAAUUCAUGACUUAAUUGCCGUCGCUCUUAAGAAAACCAUUGAGAUAAUCGAUAACGAUGACGGCGCAUUGUUCCGAUUAUAGCGACGACUUAAAUAAAUGUUCGUCGUAUUUCGCAAUCAAUCGAACAAAGCUGUGUUUACCGAAUUUGCGGUAAUGAUAGUCGAAUGAUGUUCUGCCGCAGAAUUCACGUCUGGUUACGCCAAUGCUUUUCACGAAUGGAAAUUUCCACGGCGCCGCGAGGGGCUCGCCGCGUACAACACGAUGGUGUGUCACUGACUGACUUACUAGCGCGAAAAUUGCACCGUACCAACAAGAAUACACGGUGCGAAUGCAAAAAACAAAGAAAUCCAAGUUCAGAUGAUGCAUAUUACCCCAAUCCUUGUGAUUCAUUCAUAGAUUCGACUUAUCAUGUGAUCCGAAUCCGCUCCCUUCGAUUUAUUUCUACAUGCACGAAGAUCGUGCACAUGCACGAUUAGUGCAGUCACCCCCACUGAUAUUUUUCGUGAAAUGAAGUUACACAUUCACUAAGUUAUCGAGACUAAACAGUUAAUACACAGUAAACAUUCAGUAGUAUUUUUAGAAUAUGAAAUACAAGAUUAAUUCAAUCUCUUAUACCAGUUCAUGAUAGUCGAGGUUAAUGAAUCGAUUAAACUUGGUUUUUUACGAUACUAUAAGAAUAUUUCCAGUUUAAAGCUUCUGAGAACUGUAACCAGUUCGCUAAAGAUGAGGAAAAACUGAUAGCCCACUCAGGGAAAAACUACCAGGGAAGGAAGGUUACUGAGAGAGGGUCUUUCAAGGUCCAUAGUCUAAUCUUACUGUUUGCGUAGGGAUACGGAAAAAGUAUUGCCAGAAGUUCUCGGAAAAUCUAGCUGGUCGUAUAGAAGAACCUUUCUUAACUUAUGGUUAACGAUGAACAUUCUUUAAACUUGAAAACGAUAAUGGGAAGUUUCCUAAUCCGUUCGGUAUGGUCAAAGGGUAGUAGCCUAGGGAAAGCCUACCAAUAAGGGAAGGCUGACGAAUGCCGGCCCUUUCAAGGCCUACGGCUUAAUCCUAUUUGCGAAAAAUCGUGAACGAGAAUUAGUGGUGACAUAGAACAGGCCACAGGUAAAAAAGAAAUAAUAAUUUCAGCAAAGGUAAUAAACAAAUUAACUGAAUGCACAAUAAGUAGUGUAAAAAAAAUUCUGAGGCUGGAAAAUAAUUAUCAUUCAGCCCAAGAAGUAUAACAAAUUCCAGACGUGUAUAUACCGGCCAACAAAAGCGUCGAUGGCCCCCAAUAGUUGGGUACCCUGUCCGUCAUAAAUUACUACGGACCCUUGACCAUCUGUCGUGGAUGAAGAAAAAGAUUUUCUCAGACGACACGGCCAUUAUCUCCGGGACCUUAGCACGUGUUGCAUCAACUGCGUCUGAACGAACUUGGAUUUUUGAAAUAAAAUAGUAUAACUUAUUA